rnacentral:ncRNA from 1 species
UUGCACAGAGCCUUUACCAAAGCUCUUAGUCCCCAUCAAUACAGCGCGUUUGUUAUCUUGCAAUGCGCCACUGACAAUUUCAGAUGCCGAUGCAGAACCGUUAUUGAUUAAUACAACCAACGAGGUGCCACCCAAUAUAUCCCCUGGUUUUGCUUUAAAAUUCAUGUUUUUUCCAACGCGCGAUUUGGUACUUACAAUUCCACCUUUAUCUAGGAACAUAUCACUAAUUUCCACAGCUUGAUCCAAUAAACCACCUGGGUUAUUACGCA